rnacentral:rRNA from 1 species
CACUCCUGCGGGAGGCAGCAGUGGGGAAUUUUGGACGAUGGGCGAAAGCCUGAUCCAGCAAUGCCGCGUGAGUGAAGAAGGCCUUCGGGUUGUAAAGCUCUUUUGUCAGGGAAGAAACGGUGAGAGCUAAUAUCUCUUGCUAAUGACGGUACCUGAAGAAUAAGCACCGGCUAACUACGUGCCAGCAGCCGCGGUAAUACGUAGGGUGCAAGCGUUAAUCGGAAUUACUGGGCGUAAAGCGUGCGCAGGCGGUUUUGUAAGUCUGAUGUGAAAUCCCCGGGCUCAACCUGGGAAUUGCAUUGGAGACUGCAAGGCUAGAAUCUGGCAGAGGGGGGUAGAAUUCCACGUGUAGCAGUGAAAUGCGUAGAUAUGUGGAGGAACACCGAUGGCGAAGGCAGCCCCCUGGGUCAAGAUUGACGCUCAUGCACGAAAGCGUGGGGAGCAAACAGGAUUAGAUACCCCGGUAGUCCCA